rnacentral:rRNA from 1 species
ACUCAAAUGAAUUGACGGGGGCCCGCACAAGCGGUGGAGCAUGCGGUUUAAUUCGACGCAACGCGAAGAACCUUACCUAGGCUUGACAUGUACAGAAGUCCUUAGAAAUUUGGAUGUGCUCGCAAGAGAACUGUAACACAGGUGCUGCAUGGCUGUCGUCAGCUCGUGUCGUGAGAUGUUGGGUUAAGUCCCGCAACGAGCGCAACCCUUGUCGUUAGUUGCCAGCAUUUAGUUGGGAACUCUAACGAGACUGCCGUGGUUAACACGGAGGAAGGUGGGGAUGACGUCAAGUCCUCAUGGCCUUUAUGCUUAGGGCUACACGCGUGCUACAAUGCAUUCUACAGAGGGCUGCGAAGCCGCAAGGUGAAGCCAAUCCCACAAAAGAAUGCUCAGUUCAGAUUGGAGUCUGCAACUCGACUCCAUGAAGCUGGAAUCGCUAGUAAUCGCGGAUCAGCACGCCGCGGUGAAUACGUUCCCGGGCCUUGUACACACCGCCCGU